rnacentral:rRNA from 1 species
UACGUAGGGUGCAAGCGUUGUCCGGAAUUAUUGGGCGUAAAGGGCUCGUAGGCGGUCCGUCACGUCGGGAGUGAAAACUUGGGGCUUAACCCCAAGCCUGCUUCCGAUACGGGCGGACUAGAGGUAGGCAGGGGAGAACGGAAUUCCAGGUGUAGCGGUGAAAUGCGUAGAUAUCUGGAGGAACACCGGUGGCGAAGGCGGCAUCCUGGACCGACAUUGACGCUGAGGCGCGAAAGCCAGGGGAGCAAACGGG